CCGGCACGGGUGAGUAACGCGUAUGCAACUUGCCUAUCAGAGGGGAUAACCCGGCGAAAGUCGGACUAAUACCGCAUGAAGCAGGGGCCCCGCAUGGGGAUAUUUGCUAAAGAUUCAUCGCUGAUAGAUAGGCAUGCGUUCCAUUAGGCAGUUGGCGGAGUAACGGCCCACCAAACCGACGAUGGAUAGGGGUUCUGAGAGGAAGGUCCCCCACAUUGGAACUGAGACACGGUCCAA
rnacentral:rRNA from 1 species